CCGCUUAAUGAAUAUAGCUUGUGCUCGGACCUGUAGGAGCAUAGAUGAGCUUCGUGGUUUUGCUCGGACCAGCUUUAUUGAACGUAAUUACAUUACCUUCUGUUGUUGCAAGAAGAUCAUCAGUUGCUUCUUGCCAUGAAAUUAAAAUAUUUUUAGUUCUAUCUAAAUAAAAUAAAAUAAAAAAAUCCCUCAAUUAAAUUUAGUAUUUCCUGUUUUGUCGAGCCAAAUGCGACUUAAAAAUGUGAGUAAGAAGGAGUAAGUAGUCCAACCUUAAGGAACCAUUUGAUUUGGGUCAUUUUGUUAAAUACUCCCGUACUUGCCAUGAAAUUCCCAAGUCAAUUAUAAAGUACUAUCCCAAGGAACCCAACUACCGAGUCGUCCAUUUCUCCUGAAAUUCCCAAUUCCAUUGCCACCAAAAAGAAACAAGAAAAUCCCAAUCCACUGUACCCACCACCAUGACACCACCACCAGUCUUCAUCUCCUCCGCCGCUCUCCCAACCCUCCUUUCUCACAAAUCCCUCAUCGACCACCUUCAAUUUUCCCUCCCCACCUUCACUUCCACCACUCAAUCCCAUCUUCGCCAUGCCCACCAAACAAGCCCUUCCACUUCUCUCCUCCUUAUGCCUUCUUGGUCUCUUUCCCCUUCACUUCCCUAUAUUGGUGUCAAGCUAGUCACUUAUCACCCCAACAAUUCCACCCAAAAUUUACCUGGGGUUCACGCAAGUUAUGUUCUUUUUAAUUCCAUCACUGGACAAACCUUAGCCACUAUGGAUGCCACUGAACUCACUGUCUACCGAACUGCUUGCAUCUCAGCUUUAGCUUCUAACUUCU
rnacentral:lncRNA from 1 species